rnacentral:rRNA from 1 species
CAGCUUUCGACGGUAUGGUAUUGGCUUACCGUGGCAGUGACGGUUAACGGGGGAUUAGGGUUCGAUUCCGGAGAGGGAGCCUGAGAAACGGCUACCACAUCUAAGGAAGGCAGCAGGCGCGCAAAUUACCCAAUUCUAACAGUUUGAGAGAGGUAGUAACAAGAAAUAACAAUACAAGGCAAUUAAAAUGYUUUGUAAUUGGAAUGAUAGAAAUUUAAACCCUUUUUAAAGUAUCAAUUGGAGGGCAAGUCUGGUGCCAGCAGCCGCGGUAAUUCCAGCUCCAAUAGCGUAUAUUAAAAUUGUUGCAGUUAAAAAGCUCGUAGUUGAAGUUCUGYUAAAAGUAACCGGUCUGCUUUUAAUAAAAGUGGUAUCUUGGUGUGUAUUUAGCAAUGAUGUCCUUUGAAGUGUUUUUUACUUUAUUGUAAUAAAGCAUAUUCAGGACUUUUACUUUGAGAAAAUUAGAGUGUUUCUAGCAGGCCGACGCUUUGAAUACUGCAGCAUGGAAUAAUAAGAUAGGAUUUUAGUUCUACAUUAUUGGUUUUAAGAGCUAAAUUAAUG